rnacentral:lncRNA from 1 species
CAAACCUUUCCACAAGGACCAAGUGUUUAUAUUUGAAUAUAAACAUAGAAUCACUUCACAUAACUUCACACAUUUACCGAAUAUAUCACAAUCACAUUUAUAGUCAUAACACUUAUUCACAGAUGCAUCACUUUAUAUAUUUAUAAUUUAAUUCAAAUCAAAAUCGCAUACGAGUACAUGAUACAUACCUGGCCAACUUAAU